rfam:[Clostridium] straminisolvens JCM 21531 DNA, contig: contig00030.
CAGGUGGUAUCAAUUUGAACCGCACUGUAGAUAUUAAACGAGAAGAAUUGAUUUUUUUAUUGCAUUCUGCUUUGAUCCGUAAAAGGGGACAGAGACAGGGGG